UUGAUUCUGAGCACCAGCAGUUACAAGUGUGGCAGCCGGUGCAUGUGUUCAGCAAUAUCGAGUGUUGCACUCCGGCCUGUCGAACAUCCGUACCUCUGGGUGGCGCGCUCAGUCUCCGCCCUCUUUAUCAUUCUACACCUCUGAACAGGUUACAUCCACAUCCGGGUUACUGUACGGCGGUGCGUUCUCUGAACACGCCACUGAAAGCCGAUCUGUCGGCCGCGGUUCUGCAGCGCGCUCCUAGGACGUUACUUGUCGGUCUGGUUGCUUGUCGCUCAAGGUUCGGUCCACACGGAGCGGAACCUCCGCCGAGCAGCUCGCCUCGAGCUCCUUCGUCUGGCUGGGGAAGCUGGCGGGUGCCGUCCUGCGCUUGCCGCUGGCCGCGCGGCUGCUGCUUCGCCUCGGCUCCCCGCCGGCGCGUUCGUCUCCGGUGCCGCUGUGCGCGCAGCUCGCAAUGCCGGGCCCCGCGGCGGGUAACAAGGCCCGGGUGUACGCGGAUGUGAACACGGCCAAAAAUCGCGAGUACUGGGACUACGAAGCGCAUGUGCCUACCUGGAGCAACCAGGAGGACUACCAGCUGGUUCGGAAGCUUGGCCGUGGGAAGUACAGUGAAGUGUUUGAAGCCAUCAACAUAACCAACAACGAAAAGGUGGUCAUUAAGAUUCUCAAGCCUGUGAAGAAGAAGAAGAUCAAGCGGGAGAUCAAGAUUCUGGAGAACCUUCGUGGAGGGACUAACAUCAUCCGCUUGGUGGACACUGUAAAGGACCCUGUGUCCCGUACCCCUGCACUCGUCUUUGAAUGCAUCAACAACACUGACUUCAAGGAGCUGUACCAGAAGCUGACCGACUAUGACAUUCGAUAUUACAUGUUUGAGCUGCUCAAGGCCCUUGACUACUGCCACAGCAAGGGGAUCAUGCAUCGGGAUGUGAAACCUCACAACGUGAUGAUUGACCACCAGCUGCGGAAGCUGCGUCUCAUAGACUGGGGCCUGGCGGAGUUCUACCACCCUGCACAGGAGUACAAUGUCCGGGUGGCAUCCCGCUACUUCAAGGGUCCUGAGCUGCUGGUGGACUACCAGAUGUACGAUUACAGCCUGGACAUGUGGAGUCUAGGCUGCAUGUUGGCCAGCAUGAUCUUUCAGAAGGAGCCCUUUUUCCAUGGCCAGGACAACUAUGACCAGCUCGUGCGAAUAGCUAAGGUUCUGGGGACAGAUGAGCUCUUUGGCUACCUGCGCAAGUAUCGCAUUGAGCUGGACCCACGCUUCAAGGAGCUGCUGGGCCAGCAGACACGAAAACGCUGGGACCAGUUUGUUCAGUUGGAGAACCAGCACCUUGUGAGUCCCGAGGCCCUGGACCUGCUGGAUAAGCUGCUGCGCUAUGACCACCAGCAGCGACUCACCGCCACCGAGGCCAUGCAGCACCCCUACUUCUACCCAGUAGUGAAGGAUCAGUCUCUAUCCAGUGCUGACGGCACUUUGGCAUCCAGCGGUUCCACUACAGCACGAUGAAAGAAGGAGACCUGUGCUGACCUCUACGUGAACCCUUCAUGGGAGAGACUGGACCAGAACAUCUUCAGCUGUCAGCACAGAACCACAUAUGCGCACAGACAUGGUCUCCCCAAAUGGGCCCCUUGGCCUGCUCACAAUGUUCAGCUGCCAGCCUGGAACUCUCUCAGUAUUACCUGACCUCUAAACCCUUUGAAGUGCAAAUGUAUUUAAAUGCUCCUCUCUGGACCCUACGUACACAUGCAUGGAGGAUGAAGGUAAACGGUGCGUUACCCUUCCACUAUGUGGUGCUGCUAGCAGAAUGGUAAACCCCCCCUUCUUACCAUGGCUAGAGUAAUAGUAGUAAUAAUGAGAAUAAAUGAUUUUUAUGUAGGUUUCUGUGUGGGAUUAUUGUCAGCACUUUUGGUUCUGGAGACAUUUUUAAGAUAUUAAAAUGUUUUAUUUUCAUUCCAUUGGAUGCUUUUUUUUUUUUUUUUUUUUUUAAUAGAUGCCCUUGCCUGUGUCCAUGUCCCAUUCAUCUAGAUCUUACUAUGAAGAAUGACUCUUAGUCCUUGAUGUUCACACUCUUUAUUGUAAUACAUCUGUCUCACCCACAAGGGUACAAGGCAGUGAUGUGUUAGGGGGAGAUGGCCUGCCCUUGCCAGAUCUGGAGGGAAGCCAGUCCACCAAGAGGGCCUGGUCAGUGACAUAACUUCCUUGACACAAUGCUUAGGUUACGGCAAUAGACUGUGUCAUAUGGAUAUCAGGAACUUUAAUUACAGUGGCAGUCACAAGUAAGCGUAGUGUCACCCGAGGGAAUUUCACUGCAUAUCUGAAAAGGGAGGGGUUCAGUUUUCGUGUCCGCGGAGGAAGAAUGCGCAACUGUGCUGUCCCUCUGCAAUAUCACUCCUCUGUUGCCCUGGAGACCAGUGGUCUGGAGGUGGGUUUGGGGAUGACCUGCUGCCUAAAACAGUUUAGUUUCAUUUCAGGUGAGUGCCAUAACAGGGUAAUGUCACUAUGGUAGCAGACACAGGCAGUGUAAAAUGAGCAUUGUUAAGAGGGACUGCUCCUUGCUAUGUGUCACCUUCUCAGCUGUAAUGAAAGCUUUUAGCUUCCUGCAGGGGAAACGCAGGCUAUUGGUUCCUGUAACGGUGUUCCGUUAACACAGAAUGUCUGCUGCUGGCGUUCCAGGUAUGUUAAUGACAGUAGCUCCUCAACACUGACUCUGAGCAGUGGUGGUUGGUUGAGGUCACAACUCACCUCACCAUACCUCCAGCAGCUACAUCCUGGCUGGGUACCUCCUGCAUGGCACGUAACAGCUGGCAGAUCUGUCGGAUGGUCAUCUUGGGAAUGGUGCUGAUGAACCGUGGGCGUGGCCCCCUGUAGAAAGCGGAUGAGCCGAAUAGGGAAGGGGGCUGCCCUGCUGGGUAGUUGAACAGCUGCAGGUUCCUGGGAGUGCGUCUGGUGUAGCAGGAGGCUGACUGCUGAGGGUGUGGCAAGACAGAGCAUGAGCAAAGGGAACAUUGUCAUAACACCCUCCUCUUGUGUCAAGCGUGAUGAGCUAUGUGGUGGAAACCAUCUCUCAAAUGUUUCUGACAGAAAACCAGAAACCAUGUACUGUCCCUUAAACCUGUGUCUGACAAGAAAUGGGAAACCAGGUACUGACCUUUACACCUGUGUCUGACAGGAAACCAGAUACUGGGUACUGACCCUCACACCCUCAUUUGACAGGAAACUAGAAACCAGGUACUGACUUUCACAACCUUAUUUGACAAGAAACAGGAAACCAGGUACUGACCCUCAGAUGCUUGUUCAACAGAAACCAGGAAAUGAGGUACUGAUCCUCACUCAUACCCUUAUCCGACAGGAAACCAGGUAUGGACCCUCAGAAGCUCGUUCAACAAGAAACUGAAAAACAGGUACUGACCCUCAGAAGCUCAUUCAACAAGAAAUAAGACAACAGGAAACAAAACCAGGUACUGACCCUCAUACUUAUGUCUGACAGCAACUUAGCUCACCAGCUCCCUGGAGAACUCCUGUUCUUCUGGUGAAAUGUACUCCCACCAAGGAAGAUGAUAUUGACUAGCAGAGCUGAUCAUGGGGCAAUUGACCAGAACACUAGUCCACUAUGACAACUGAGCCUGCGCAACACAGAGGCCACAGCACAUUGUGACAUCAUCAUACCACCCUGACUGAUGGAGAACAUCGCUGACCAUUAUGACCAAUAGAGAACAUCGCCGAAGGCCCAGCACCUUCCGUCAUUCCUCAGAAUUAGAAAAGUAAAGUCACUCUGGUCACUUCAGGAUACAGAUGGACACAAAAAUGAGAAUCCAGAGGAAUUGAUAAACCCCAUGAUGGAGAAAACAUCUUGUAGACUCACCGGGACAACAGAAGCCAUGGUGUCUUCUACAGAUGCCCAGAGGACUGUGACUGAGGUCUCACCCUGGGCCCUUUGUCAUAUACCUGGCAAGGGUACAAGGAGUCAAGAGUCUGGCCAAUCAGAGCUGAGAUGUGACUGGACACCCCAGGUGGAGCUCCCCUUUCGUCUGGUAACACACAGUAACAUGGUGGCCUCCAGGUAGUGCUGGACACUGGUUUCGAUUGGACUGGAGAGGUGUGCCCAUCGCUGGUGUGAUGGGCAGAAGCGGAAGGGCAGAUCUGGAGGGAAGCUGGUCUAGCCAGAGGGCCUGGUCAGAUAGGAAGGGCGACACACUCAAGGAAGAUGAGUGCAGCUUCAUUCCUCAGAUGCUCAGGCUGGCAAUGGGGAACAGCCACUUCUUGCUCUGCACAUGAACUUUGACCAGUACCCCGUCAGCAUAUGAAGAGCUGUGUGUGCACAAAUGUCCAUGAUUCAACAAGGGUCUCAUGUCAAAAAUAAGGUGUUAAGUGAUACCGGCUUGUGCCUUGUCUCACU